GUUGAUGGUACUGGAGAAGGACU
rnacentral:piRNA from 1 species